UAUAAUAGUGAUGGCUGUUACAAAUGAGAUGAACGGAGAAAAGGAUAAACUGUUAGAACUUCGGUGUCAAGUUCUGAAAAAUGCGAAUUCUUUGCGUGAAACAGUUUCAUCUAUAGAACAGCUUAAACUUGAAAGUCAGCGAGCAAAGCUAACCCUAACAGAAUUAAAUACACUUAGUAAAAAAAAAACAAAUUGUUAUCGUUCUGUAGGGAAAAUGUUUUUGUAUAGUGAUGAACAUAAAGUCAAGUCUUGGCUAGAAGGCACAAUUGAUAAUAAUCGUAAACUAAUAGAUAACCUGGAAAAAAAAAGGGAAAACCAAGUUGCCUCUUUACUUCAAAGUGAAAAAGAGUAUAAAAACUUAAUAGAUAAAAUAAAGAGC